rnacentral:rRNA from 1 species
GUGGGGAAUAUUGGACAAUGGGGGGAACCCUGAUCCAGCCAUGCCGCGUGUGUGAAGAAGGCCUUUUGGUUGUAAAGCACUUUAAGCGAGGAGGAGGCUACCGAGAUUAAUACUCUUGGAUAGUGGACGUUACUCGCAGAAUAAGCACCGGCUAACUCUGUGCCAGCAGCCGCGGUAAUACAGAGGGUGCAAGCGUUAAUCGGAUUUACUGGGCGUAAAGCGCGCGUAGGUGGCCAAUUAAGUCAAAUGUGAAAUCCCCGAGCUUAACUUGGGAAUUGCAUUCGAUACUGGUUGGCUAGAGUAUGGGAGAGGAUGGUAGAAUUCCAGGUGUAGCGGUGAAAUGCGUAGAGAUCUGGAGGAAUACCGAUGGCGAAGGCAGCCAUCUGGCCUAAUACUGACGCUGAGGUACGAAAGCAUGGGGAGCAAACAGGAUUAGAUACCCUGGUAGUCC